GGGUCUGUAGCUCAUCUGGGAGAGCGCCUGAUUUGCAUUCAGGAGGCAACGAGUUCAAGUCUCGUCAGAUCCACCA
rnacentral:tRNA from 1 species